rnacentral:rRNA from 1 species
UUAACCUACGGGAGGCAGCAGUGGGGAAUAUUGCACAAUGGGGGAAACCCUGAUGCAGCAACGCCGCGUGAGUGAAGAAGUAUUUCGAUAUGUAAAGCUCUAUCAGCAGGGAAGAAGAUGACGGUACCUGAUUAAGAAGCCCCGGCUAACUACGUGCCAGCAGCCGCGGUAAUACGUAGGGAGCAAGCGUUAUCCGGAUUUACUGGGUGUAAAGGGCGUGUAGGCGGGCCUGCAAGUCAGAAGUGAAAUCUGGGGGCUUAACCCCCAAACUGCUUUUGAAACUGUGGGACUUGAGUGAUGGAGAG